rnacentral:rRNA from 1 species
AACGAACGCUGGCGGCAGGCUUAACACAUGCAAGUCGAGCGCCCCGCAAGGGGAGCGGCAGACGGGUGAGUAACGCGUGGGAACGUACCCUUUGCUACGGAAUAGCUCCGGGAAACUGGAAUUAAUACCGUAUGUGCCCUACGGGGGAAAGAUUUAUCGGCAAAGGAUCGGCCCGCGUUGGAUUAGCUAGUUGGUGGGGUAAUGGCCUACCAAGGCGACGAUCCAUAGCUGGUCUGAGAGGAUGAUCAGCCACAUUGGGACUGAGACACGGCCCAAACUCCUACGGGAGGCAGCAGUGGGGAAUCUUGCGCAAUGGGCGAAAGCCUGACGCAGCCAUGCCGCGUGAAUGAUGAAGGCCUUAGGAUUGUAAAAUUCUUUUACCAGGGACGAUAAUGACGGUACCUGGAGAAAAAGCCCCGGCUAACUUCGUGCCAGCCGCCGCCGUAACAC